CACCGGUCAGCUUUCUGGCUCCUAUAAAUCCGAUUGAAGAACCGAAAGGAGCUACUGAAACAGGAAGGGAGAAGUUGAUGCUUUGAGGUACCAACAAUGGGAUGAUCGAGAAUAGCAUUGUCAUUAAUUCAGAGGUCAGUUUUUGUUGGGCUUGGCAUGUCUAGCCCUGUUCGCCAUUAUCAUUGUCCGGCCGCCCUACCCCUGGAACUGGGAGCGUCCUGGUACGCAGAAGUUGAUGCUCUGAGGUACCAACAAUGGGAUGAUCGAGAAUAACAUUGUCAUUCAUUCAGAGGCCAGUUUUUAUUGGGCUGUUGGCAUGUAUGGCCAUGUUCGACAUUGUCAUUGUCUGGCCGCCCUGGCCCCUAGAACUAGGAGCGAUCUGGGAUCCAAGAUCCAUCCAUUCCGGUGUAUAUUCAAAAAUCACAAAAAGAACGAUAUGAUAGUUGCAUAUGCAUGUAUAUUCAAC
rnacentral:lncRNA from 7 species